CUCAUUCUGCCUUGCCUGCCACCAUGUAAGAUGUCCCUUGCUCUUCCACCAUGAUUGUGAGGCCUCUCCAGCCAUGUGAAACUGUCUGUGUAGGUUUUUUCUGGCUACUCCUGUUUCCUCCCACAUCCCAAAGGUGUGCCUAUGAGGUGAACUGCCAUGCCUACACAUCCCAGUAUGAGUGAGUGCAGGUGGUGUGCACGCGCCCUGCGAUGGGAGUGUGUCCUAUUCAGGGCUGGUUCCCGCCUUGCGCCCUAAGCUUUGGAGAUAGGCUUCGGCCACCCUCAACCCUGAACUGGAAUAAGCAGAAAACCACAUCUGGUCAGGAGCCCAAUGUGUCCCACUUGGACAAGAAUAGAAAUCUCUCUUCUGGAAUAUGACCUGAGAUAUCCUGAUGAAGCAGACCACACCUGCCCUCAGAGAUGACCUCAUGAGGAAGCUGAGUUGCAUAACAAACAUCUCUGCUGCUCAGCCACCUCCACUCUUUUUCAACAGACCUUGGAGAUAGCACAGCACCCACACCAAAAAAUCAGGAAGCUCUCUUAUCAGCAAUCUUUCUGUACCUAUGAAAUCAGACAUUCCAACCACGGCAGAACCUCCUGAGUGGACCAGAGCUUCAGAGUCAGGAAAAGCUGGGGCCUAAUGAUGUUUCCAAUCAAAUCACUCUGCAGGGGAUUUUCCAUUUAACAUAUUGUGAUUGUGCAGUAACAUUAGUCUUUGCCAUUUAACUUAUUAAAUUUUAAAAUCUUGUAAUAUCCUCAA